rnacentral:lncRNA from 1 species
GAAAACAUUAACCAAUAAUAUUUAAAAACCCUUACAAGAAUAAGAUUCAAAAUCUUAAUAUAUUUACAAAUCUUUGAAAACCUUUAAAAGAAAAAGAUUCAAAAUCUUGAUAUACUUAAAAGACUAACAAUCACAGUCUGUCAGUAUGAGCAAGACCUUUGGGUUCCUUAGUAGAAUAAGGAAGCAAAUGAGGUGAACAAGAGGUAGAAAACGAGAAUAAAAAUACAAAUGGUGUAAGUGAU